rnacentral:rRNA from 1 species
GGAUGAACGCUGGCGGCGUGCCUAAUACAUGCAAGUCGAGCGAACAGACGAGGAGCUUGCUCCUCUGACGUUAGCGGCGGACGGGUGAGUAACACGUGGAUAACCUACCUAUAAGACUGGGAUAACUUCGGGAAACCGGAGCUAAUACCGGAUAAUAUAUUGAACCGCAUGGUUCAAUAGUGAAAGACGGUUUUGCUGUCACUUAUAGAUGGAUCCGCGCCGCAUUAGCUAGUUGGUAAGGUAACGGCUUACCAAGGCAACGAUGCGUAGCCGACCUGAGAGGGUGAUCGGCCACACUGGAACUGAGACACGGUCCAGACUCCUACGGGAGGCAGCAGUAGGGAAUCUUCCGCAAUGGGCGAAAGCCUGACGGAGCAACGCCGCGUGAGUGAUGAAGGUCUUCGGAUCGUAAAACUCUGUUAUUAGGGAAGAACAAAUGUGUAAGUAACUAUGCACGUCUUGACGGUACCUAAUCAGAAAGCCACGGCUAACUACGUG